UUCACCGCCUGGACUCUGGGAAGGGGACGCCACGCUCCUUCUGCGCAUGUGCAGCCGUAGCCUCCUCGUUUGUCUUCUCAGGACUCCAGAGAACCGUUGGGGAACUUUGGGGUGUGCUCGGAAAAUGCAGGAGCUUCAGAGCAGAGACAAGAGCCCAGAAAGGAGCAGAUGCUAGAUUUGCAAGAUCAGAAGCAGGUCUUGAUCCUCCUGCCCAGAAUGAACCAGACUUGAUGAUGCCACCUUCAGGAGCCACCACACUGUGUGACAGUGGGGCAUUUGGGCCGUCCCUGGGAAGUACAGAUGCGCUGCUGUCACACAUGUCCACCACCACAUGUGACAUUAGUGACGUUAUCCUGAUGUCACAGGAUCCAAGAAUGAUGAUCUGUGAAGAGUUUUCCAAGGUCACCUACUUCUAACUCUUUUGAAAGAUUUAAAGACAUUGGGCCUGAAAAUUUCAGUGACUUGUCCAGGGAAACGCAGUUUGUGACAGUUCACUCUCUCACAGCUGAACCACAGUCCUCUGUACUCGCCCAGGAGCCACAGAGAGUGAACAUCCCUCAGGUAUGAAGGUCUUCUUGAGCAUUUCCUGUUUGGGGUGUCUUGUGGGAUGAACUACCUCAGCUUUUGUUUAUGUGGGAAAGUUUGUAUUUCUCCACCAUAUCUGUAGGAUAUUUUUCCCUGGAUAGAGUAUUCUCAGCUGAAGGUUUUUGUCUUUCAGAAUUUUGAAUAUCUCAUUCUACCUUCUCGUAGCCUGUAAAGAUUCUGCUGAGAAAUCUCCUGAAAGUUUGAUAUGGUCUUUGUAAGUUAUUUUCUUCUGC